rnacentral:rRNA from 1 species
UAGGGAAUAUUGCACAAUGGGGGAAACCCUGAUGCAGCAACGCCGCGUGAGUGAAGAAGGCCCUUGGGUUGUAAAGCUCUUUAGCGAGGGAAGAAGGUAGAUACGGUGAACAAUCGUGUUUGCUGACGGUACCUCGAGAAUAAGCACCGGCUAAUUUCGUGCCAGCAGCCGCGGUAAUACGAAAGGUGCAAGCGUUACUCGGAAUCACUGGGCGUAAAGCGCACGUAGGCGGACUCGUAGGUCAGUUGUGAAAUACCUGGGCUCAACCCGGGAACUGCAGCUGAAACCGCUUGUCUUGAAUACCUGAGAGGGUGGGGGAAUACCUGGUGGAGAAGUGAAAUUCGUAGAGAUCAGGUGGAACACCGGAGGCGAAGGCGCCUGCCUGGCAGUGUAUUGACGCUGAGGUGCGAAAGUGCGGGGAGCAAACAG